AGCUUUGGGCAGUGGCAGUAUUUUCACCAGUGGGGUUUAUCUAAUGCACAAUUUUUGGUAAUUGAAAUCUUUUUCCAAUACCCCACUAAAAGGUCUUGCAAUAUAGUUGGCAUUGACAAUUUUUGACAGUAUUUGCAAAGA
rnacentral:snRNA from 1 species